rnacentral:rRNA from 1 species
UACGGAGGGUGCGAGCGUUGUCCGGAAUCACUGGGCGUAAAGGGCGCGUAGGCGGCUGGGGGAAGUCGGUGGUGAAAGCUCGUGGCUCAACUACGAGUCGGCCAACGAUACUCCUCGGCUCGAGCACUGUAGAGGCAGGUGGAAUUCCGGGUGUAGCGGUGAAAUGCGCAGAUAUCAGGAGGAACACCAAUGGCGAAGGCAGCACUCUGGGACGUGACUGACGGCUGAGACGCGAAAAGCGUGGGGGAGCAAACAGG